AUGUCCAAAAGACCAUCUUAUACCCCGCCUCCCACCCCAGCUCCUGCAACACAAACGCCCAGUACACCAGGGUCUGUGGGAUACAAUCCAUAUAGUCAUCUUACCUAUAACAACUACAGGCUGUGAGGGAACCUGGGCACCAACACCAAGGUCAUGGCGUCAUCUGGCAUUACAAUUCCAAAGUCUCCAAAGCCACCAGAUCAGCCACUGAUGCCCUACAUGAGAUACAGCAGAAAGGUCCGGGACCAAGUAAAGGCUUCCAACGCUGAUGUUAAGUUGUGGGAUACUGGCAAGAUUAUUGGUGGCAUGUGGCAAGAUCACACUGAUAAAGAAAAACAAGCAUAUUUAAAUGAAUAUGAAGCAGAAAAGGUAGAGUACAAUGAAUCUGUGAAGGCCUACCACAAUUUCCCUGCCUAUCUUGCAUAUAUUAAUGGAAAAAGUCAUGAGGAAGCUUCAUUAGAGGAAGAAUGUCAACAGAGACAGUCUGACAUGGAGAAAGGAGUGCCUUAUAUGAGCAUUCAGGGUCUGUGGAGGAUCCAGAUGAUUAUGAUGGCUUUUCAAUGAAGCACACAGCCACUGCCUGUUUCCAGAGAAACCACUGUCUCAUCAGUCAGAUCCUCAGUGACAGUGUGGUACUUGAUGUGUGGUCGGUUGUCACAACAGCUAGAACACAGGUCCUCGAGUGACAGCUCCAGUCUUUAAUGGUUCAUCGGCAGAAACUAGAAGCCAAGCUUCUUCAGAUAGAGCUACGACACCAGGAAAUGAAGAGGAAAUCCCAGGAAAGCACAGACUCCUUUGACAAUGAACUUAAAAGGUUAUGUGGUCUGUAGAUGGAAGUAAACAUGGAGAAAACUGCAGCUGAAAGCACACAGGUGGAGGAACAGGCCCGCAAGAGGCAGGAGGAGAGAGAAGGAGGCAGCAGAGCAAGCUGAGCAGAGUCAGAGCAGCAUCACUCCCGAGGAAGAGCAAGUGGUGAACAAGCCCAGGAGAAGAAGGAUGAGGAGAGCAUCCCAAUGGAGACAGAGGAGACACAUCUUGAAGAAAAAGCAGGGAGCCAGCAGAAUGGUGAAGAAGGCACGUCUAUUCCUGAGGAAAAGGAGAGUGGGCAGGAGGGGGUUGACAGUAUGGAGUGGGAAGGGACCAGUGACAGUAACACCGGCUCAGAGAGCAAUAGCGCCAGUGGAGGAGCCGCCCACAGACCCAAGAAGGAGAAGGAGGAA
rnacentral:lncRNA from 1 species